GAGAAUAGUGAAAAUUCCUUUAACAUUUUAUCUUAUUUUUAUAGUUUUUUAGGACUAGAUUCCGGAAAUAAUAAAACAGAUGAAAAUUUGUUGCCUCAAAAUAAGGACGAAGUAAUAAACCAACACACAUAUAAUGUUGAUCAUAUUGCCUACAAUUUAAAAUUAAGUAGAGCAUCAUUUAGGGAUGUACCGACUCGAUUUAGUAUAAACACUAUGGUUGAACAUAUAAAAGAUGUAAAGAUAAACCCAUUAAUAGAAAAAGAUGCCGCCUUUAAAGAAAAUAUAGAAAACUCAAAUAUAUUAUUUGAAAACUCAUUAGGUGGGGAAUCAGAAAAAAAAAA